CGCAAGGGGCUGGCGCCUUUAAGGAGCCGCGGCGUUGCGUCAUUUCUCCGCGACGCCCCCGCGCCCUCGGUCCCUCCCUCACGCCGGCGGUCGCCGGAAGCGGCCAAUCAGAAGCCUCGUUCCUUUGCUGGAUCAGCUGGUCGCGGUCCCAGCGCCGCCAGGGGCUUUUGCUGCCGCGGUGGAAGGUGUGCGGGAACCUGGGGCUCUGUGCUUCAGCCGGGGCCUCUGGCGCCAUGAGUGUGAAUCCGAUCUUUGGCUCUUCCACUCAGUAGCCGUGUGGCCAUGGCUAAGGUGCCCAUCCUCAAUUUCUCCAUCUGCAAAAUGAAGGAUUCUGGUCAAUACGCUGCUGGAUGUACAAUGAGCUGGUCUAUCCUGCAGAAUUUGUAUCAUAGAAAGGCAAGGCUCAGGAGCAGCACAGAACCUGGCCACCCCCAGACAACACCACCACCACCUGCAGCUGAGCCUUUCAAGCUGACCUGCUUGCUAAGAAGAACCUUUGAAUGAGAGCUGACGAGUGAACCAAUGAAGGAACUGCUGCCCGGCUGACGCAGGGCCUCUGGGUGUUCCCACUUAGUGCCCCUUGCCCUGCGACCCCUGGGCUACAAUCUGAAAACACGGAGCCCUGGAGCCAGGCCUCUGAGCCAGGGGUCUGCACGACAGCCUGGGGGCUCGACCCAGCCUCCACCUGCUUUUGCAUCAAGGUUUCUUUGGAACACAGCCACGCUCCCUCCUUCAUGUGGGGUCCGUGGCUGCUCCUGCUCUCGAGCUGCAACGGCUUUGCUGAGGAGCUGCAGCAGAGACCACAGAAGAGAUUGGAGUGAUGCAUCUAUAAGCCAAGGAACACCGAGGAUUCCUGGCAGCCACCGGAGGCUGGAAGAGGCAAGCCAGCAUCUUUCCCUGGAGCCUUCAGAGAGAGCAUGGCUCUGAGGACACCCCGAUUUCAGAUUUCCAGCCUCCAGAACUGGGAGAAAAAGUUCCAAGUCCCAAAGGAUCAUCUGAGGAAUCUGGAGGACUUGGAGAUCAAGUUGCCCAAAGAUACCACCAUGUUGAAUUAGCUAAGAAGUGAGACAUCUGGGACAAGACAGCGACCAACUGAACCCUCCUGGGCUCUCAAAAAUCCAAAGGUCUCCCACACCAGAGACACCAAGAGCUGGAAAGCAAACAAAUGAGAGAAAACCUCAUCAUUAGUUUGAUCAGAAGAUCCAGGAUCCAUGUAUUGGUUAGUGCUCCCCCUGCUGGCGAAUGGAGAAGCAGCAAAGCCGCCCUACAGGUGAAACCUCAGGACAGGUCACAGCCUAUGUGCUUCCCCUGCUCCUGUCUGCUGCCUCUGGACCACCCUGGUGCUAUCCACUGUGGGCCAGCAUGACGUGCUCUGCCUCCUAGGACCUAGAAAUGCUCACUGGGGAAAAGCCUCCAGAUCCAAGCAUCUGAAGAUGAAACCGCCCUCCUGCCUGAGCCAGCCCACUCGCUGUUCUCAGGGGCAGCACAGAAGAGAGAGCCAGAGAAACAGCAGAUGAAGAGAACAAGGUGCAAAGCCCGCUAAAGGAAUUUUCUCGUGGAGGGUCCCACUCUGGGUCUGUUUGUCUUACGGCUCUGCAGGUAUUCGAAGGCCCAGAUCGUGGGCUCCUGCGAGGAAAUGAAGACACACUCUGCAUGCCCUCCGGCGUGCACACGCGAAAGUGGAAGCCCAUGUAUGCUUCUCAUGCCAUUUUGAAAUUAACUUAGGAUGCACAUAUUUGCACAAAAGUACUACCCGCCUGGAAUGGGCCACACUUUGCCGAAUAAUUCCAUUGUGUACAUGCCAAUCGUAGCAUCUCCAGGCUCUUUGCCUGAAGUAGUGAGAAUGACUCUCUCCCUGGAAACAGUUCCAUGUAUAAAAGGCACACCUAGAUUUUCACAGAAAAUAUGUCUGGAUUGUAGCUCAUUCCCCACUAUGUACUGUUCUCCAGAUUUUCCAAAAAUAAUUAACAAUACAUAUUACUGACAUAAACAGAAAAAAAGUGUAUGUCUAAAUAUAUAAGAAGAGCCAGUCAUCUAUACAAACGCUCACCUGUUACUUUGGCCCUCACAGGUUCCAGCUGCUCCUUCUUAUUUUUGCCAAAAAUUAUAUCCAUGGCAUGGGGCGCUGGGCGGGAGUGAUGUUAACAGCGAG